CCUACGGGUGGCAGCAGUGGGGAAUAUUGCGCAAUGGGCGAAAGCCUGACGCAGCGACGCCGCGUGAGGGAUGAAGGUCUUCGGAUCGUAAACCUCUGUCAGCAGGGAAGAACGGUCACUGUGCUAAUCAGCAGUGAAUUGACGGUACCUGCAAAGGAAGCACCGGCUAACUCCGUGCCAGCAGCCGCGGUAAUACGGAGGGUGCGAGCGGUAAUCGGAAUUACUGGGCGUAAAGCGCUCGUAGGCGGUAUGUCAAGUCAAGGGUGAAAUCCCCGCGCUCAACGUGGGAACUGCCUUUGAAACUGGCAAACUGGAGUGUGUGAGAGGAAAGUGGAAUGCCAGGUGUAGGGGUGAAAUGCGUAGAUAUCAGGAGGAACAUCAGUGGCGAAGGCGACUAUCUGGCACAUAACUGACGCUGAGGAGCGAAAGCGUGGGUAGCAAACAGGAUUAGAUACCCCAGUAGUC
rnacentral:rRNA from 1 species